rnacentral:sRNA from 1 species
CCUUUCCGUCUGGCGGCAGCCAUCAGGUAAGCCAAGAUGGGUGCAUACAAGUACAUCCAGGAGCUAUGGAGAAAGAAGCAGUCUGAUGUCAUGCGCUUUCUUCUGAGGGUCCGCUGCUGGCAGUACCGCCAGCUCUCUGCUCUCCACAGGGCUCCCCGCCCCACCCGGCCUGAUAAAGCGCGCCGACUGGGCUACAAGGCCAAGCAAGGUACGUGAUCGACUGCGUGGAUGCUUGGAUAAAAUUACAUUCGAGAAAAGUUGGAAACCAGCUGUUAGGAAGACACUGCUGCCUCAGUGUCUUUUCUUCGCAUAGGGCUUUGGCAGAAUAGAGCUAGCAACACUGGUCAGUUACUGUAUGCACUGUUGUCUAAAGUGGCAAGUGUGUCAAAGGUUACAAAUCUGAAUGAGUUCAGACUAAAGCAAAAUAAACAGUGUGCCUCCCUGUGUGAGUAGCCUAAGGUGCAUUGAAAAAGACUGGGAUGUGUUUUAUUUUUUUCCAUUAGAUAGCAUUAACUUACUGUUGAAGUAUUUUUGGUGGAGUAUUAGUGACAAGCCAUUGAGUCUUAAGCCUUACGGCUUCCUAUAAAAUCACUAAUUUUGUGUGUGUUUGUGUGUAGGUUACGUUAUAUAUAGGAUUCGUGUUCGCCGUGGUGGCCGAAAACGCCCAGUUCCUAAGGGUGCAACUUACGGCAAGCCUGUACAUCAUGGUGUUAACCAGCUAAAGUUUGCUCGAAGCCUUCAGUCCGUUGCAGAGGUAAAUGGUUUUGAGUAGCAGUUAUAUUGAAUACUGCCUGGGGAUGGUGGGAGAGACAGAUUAAGCAACUUUUCUGAUUGUACUUAGGUGAGCUGUCUCAUGUAUAAAACAGGGUUUGUAAUUUUUACUAAUCUUGGUAAAGAGUAAUUGCUUGAAAGACUUGUAAGUCUUUGUUACAAAUGCGUGUGUAUAUACUGGAAGUACUUGUGGAACCUAAGCUUUAAGGCGGCAAGAAUAUGCAGAAGAGACCAAAUGUGGCCUGCACAGCCUAAAAUAUAUACUAAAUAUUUUUAAAGCUAAACGUUGCUGAGCUCUCAGUUGUAUGGAAAAAGAUAAGGUCCCCAAACCCUAAAUUUUGUUACCCAGAUAUUCAUGCCCUAGUCAGGAAUGGAGUAUUAAGAGGGAAUGAUGUGUUUCAGUCUAUGUGUGUUGUUUUAGCAAGUCUACAUUAUCUCAUUACACUUGUGAUAGUCUAGGGAGAGAUGCUUAGUAAAUAACUUGAGUAGUAAAAGACUCUUGUCUGGUGGUGAACUAGAGUUGAGAAUUAAAAUUCUUUCUGACUUGCUGCUAUAGGCAAUGUGGGAGACUGACCUUGGGCCUUUUUUCCUAUUCUAGGAGCGAGCUGGACGCCACUGUGGGGCUCUGAGAGUCCUGAAUUCUUACUGGGUUGGUGAAGAUUCCACAUACAAAUUUUUUGAGGUUAUCCUCAUUGAUCCAUUCCAUAAAGCUAUCAGAAGAAAUCCUGACACCCAGUGGAUCACCAAACCAGUCCACAAGCACAGGGAGAUGCGUGGGCUGACAUCUGCAGGCCGAAAGAGCCGUGGCCUUGGAAAGGGCCAUAAGUUCCACCACACUAUUGGUGGCUCUCGCCGGGCAGCUUGGAGAAGGCGCAAUACUCUCCAGCUCCACCGUUACCGCUAAUAUAAGUAAAGUUUGUAAAAUUCAUACUUAAUAAACAAUUUAGGACAGUCA